GCACCCUUGGAAAUGCAAUGCUAUAUCUCAAUGGGAUUUUCCAGUACAGAGAUUCUUUUCAAUAACAUAAUUGUGGAUACACACCACUCCUGUAGUGUUAGUCAUGCUGCUGAAACCCCAAAUGCUCACGCAGAAGAGUUCCUUUGCAAUGAAAGUCUAAGUGGGAUUGUACCUUCAACUGGCAUCACUCCACCUUACAGGAUCCUGAAAGCUUUCAAAUCCACCUCAAGCCCAGGCAGUGUCAAAGAAGGAGAGGAAUUGAAGAAGCAAAAAUAAAUAUUAAAGUACAUAAGAAUUAAAUAUUACCUUUUUAAAUAGCAAUUAUGCAGUUGAAAACAAGAUCAUCACACCUGUACAAGAAAAGGCAUGCAAGCCCAAAACAUCUGCUUGGAUCCACCUGCCAGGCACCUGUUUUGCUGUUUCAAUGCCAUUUGAUUGCUGGAGAUGUAGAGGCUCUUGUGAGGUAAUGAGUGAUUUUACAUUAUGCAUGAUUGAAAACAGGUGUUCUAAUGCUGCACAAUUCUAUGCAUGAAUAAUUCAGUUUGUUUAGAGCAAGAUCUUUAAAAGAAGUACUGCAUGGGCUUUAUUAUUUCUAUAAACACGAAGGUUUUUUUUUUUUAAUGUAUGACGAUUGUUCCUUUGCAGCCAGCUUGUUUAUGGCAAUUUUUGUGUAAUUUUAUGGAUGAGAAAUCAUAUCCUGAAAGGUAAAAUUGAUCACACUUAAAAUAUGUAAGAAGUAAAAUUGAAAGGUCUGUUAGCAAGAGGAAAACAGUAUUAAAAUUCAAUGUUCUAAGUAAAAAU
rnacentral:lncRNA from 1 species